AAUAACGCAAAUAUAAAUGAUGGGAGCGCCAUUGCAACAACAGCCACUUGAAAACCACUGCUCCAGUUUAAGGCACCUCCUUCAUGUUAAGUUUGGUAGUUUUUGUGGAGCUCUAGUUCCAGGUCUUGCACAUCUCAAACCAUCUUUGACGGACGCAGUCUGGGAACCCUUUCUCAUGCCUAAAGUGGGGCUUGUUGCAUUUUCCAGGCUUGUAAACUAAAGAGGGUUCACAAUUCUUCUGCAUCAUUUGCUUUAGUUUGGGCUUUUAUAGAGCUAUGAAAUGAAUGCCAUUCCAGCUACUGGUUUUGCCUUCUACGUACACACCAACCCUACCCCCUGAAAUUAUUCCAAGUCAGUCCUGGCUUAUCGCAACUGCGGCACAAUUUUCAAACUUGCCAACUUAGGGCAAGGUCAUUCUCAAACAUCCACCUGCUAUGACAACAGCUGUGCUGUUUCAAAACUGGACAAAAACAUAGCCUUCCCCCACCCCCCAAGUUGCCACUUGUAUUUCCCAUAUAUGUUGCCCUACAGUUUUUAUAUGUAUUGCCUUGGAAACUCUUGUACAGAUCAUUUGUUCCAAAUAUGUGGUGUAAUCAAUAUUGCUCAUCUUUUUUUAAAGCAAAUAAUAUUUUUUAAAGAAAUCAAGAAAGGAAGUUUAUUUUGCUAAAGGUAUUUUAAGGGUAAAUUAAUACUAUCUUGGAAAUUUGAUCUGAUAGUGUGUGUUUCUUAUUAAACCAGUGUAAUUUGAUUAUAUAAAUACUGACAUAUAAGAGAACUGUAUACAAAUAAAAUAUAUUGCUUAUA